CCCAUUCCCAGGCGGCGAGUGCGACUGUCCCCGGCUAGCAGCUCCCGCUGCUCCGCCUCCCCUGAGGUGAAGCGCGGUAAACGGACACUCCCCCCCUCGUGCUGUUCCUGAGCAACAGAAGCAAGUGUACAGUGACAGUACUGAGAAAAGGACUUCUUCCACCUGCUGUGCUGCAUGAGCAGCUCCACAAGAACGGUUCUCAACAAGUGUAUUGGUGGCCUGAUUCUGAACUGAAAAUCUGGAUUCACAAGA